CCCGACUUUUGGAGCUUCACUCUGUCAUUUAUUUACUUUUAUAGCCAAGCUUUUGACCACUCCCUAUGGUACUUUGAUUGAAGAAUUCAGAACUUCAACCACCCUCAAGUGUUCAAAAAGAUUCUCAAUACCUACCAAGUGAUACCUACUCAAAUAUAAAGUGUAAAUCUUGCAAUUCAAUUAUAUGAAAAUUUUACAUGCACUUGAGGAGUGUUGCACAAGUAUAAUCGAUAGAAA
rnacentral:lncRNA from 1 species